ensembl:misc_RNA Y_RNA Y RNA
GGUCGGUCCGAAGGCAGAGGGAAUUCACAAUUGAUUGUUUCAGUCAGUUACAGAAAUCCCUGCUCUUUCUCCCUCCAACUCCCACUGCUGCUCUCGACUGGCCUUUU